AAAAAUUUAGUUAAUUAAAUAACAUUAGUUUGUCAAACUAAAAUAAUUUCUUUAGAAAUAAUUUUUA
rnacentral:tRNA from 1 species